rnacentral:lncRNA from 1 species
GGUGGCUGAUGAAGCAGGGGUGAGGCAUACCUGUGGGGUGUGGAGCCCUUCUCAGUGAUGGUGUCACACCACAUGGUGAAGCCCACACUCACGAUGGUGCUGGCAAUGAAGACCAGGAAGACCACAAAGGCACUGACCAGGAGGUUCAGGAAGGCGUAGAAGAAGGAGCUGCAGUGGAGUCAAGAGAUGGAUGCUGAAGGAGCCACUCAAGACUGGGAGUUGGGGACUUGCCACCACUGAUGUACCGGGGAACCAGGGCCAAGUCAAGAACUCAAGAUCAUGAGUCCUUCUAAGACCACCUACUCACUUAGUCACUCCAUGUCACAGCUAUGGAUCCGUGUCCCCUCAAAUACACAGAAAUCCCAAAUGCCACGGUGUGAGCACCAGGCCCUCUAAGCCCUAUGUAAAGAAGGGUACAAGCAAGAGGAGAAAACCCGUCUCCCUUGCCCUUUGCUGCCUGAAUCCAGGUCACACAUUAACCCAGCCCCACUUCCCUCCUCAGAGAAAGAGAGCAUGUGGGAGUUCUC